UGAUGAUAGCAUUAAAAUUGG
rnacentral:piRNA from 1 species